AUACGUACCUGGCAGGGAAGACACCAUGAUCAGGAAGGUGGGCUUCCCGGGGAGAGGCUUGUCCAUUGCACUGCGGAUGUGCUGACCCCUGCAAUUUCCCCAAAUGUGGGAAGCUCAGCUGCAUAAUUUGUGGUAGCAGGGGACUGCGUUCGCGCUCUCCCCUA
ensembl:snRNA U1 U1 spliceosomal RNA